rnacentral:lncRNA from 1 species
GCUAGCUUUAAAUUAGCUAACCUAGCUAACAGAGCACUAACAGCCGACGGCGUUAUCUUAAGUCUUACGAUACGAAUUAUUUUCACAAUCUUUGCGUUAAAGCUACUUUUUUAUCAUUAGUUAAAAUGUAUAUGUGACUGCAAAUUGAGCACUUGUAAUUUACAUAGAACAUACAUAGUAAAGCUCUUGUAACCAUUAAUGUUAGCUGUCGAUUUCAGUUUUGCUUCCGCAGAUCCGUUAUUUUUUCGUUGCCGUUAGCAUCCAGCCUCACCAGCAGCGGGACAGCCUGACCUCGGUAAAGCUAUAAAAAGGGUUUUGCAAAUGUCUUACUGGAUCUGCUGCAACUCCUGCUUCCUUCCCCCGAGUGCUGACCGAAAACUGGCUGUAACAACGUGUGGUCAUGUCGUCUGUGGUGUCUGUUAUCACGAAGGCAAACCAGGCAAGUGUUUGAUAUGUAACGCCACAUGCCAAGUGUCACCCCUCUCUGACAAAAGCAGCUCAGAGGUGAAGGCUUUGUUUUCCGACAUCAACGCUGUGGCAACCAAACACUUCACGGAAAUCAGCAAAGUUUGGUUAUUUUCUUGCUUCACAUCAUAAAACAG